GGGCGUGUGGCUCAGUUGGUAGAGCGUUCGCUUAGCAUACUGAACUACCUUAUCAGGGUAGUGAUAUAUGCGAAAGGUCCUGGGUUCGAUUCCCAGCUCGUCCA